UACGGAGGGUGCAAACGUUGCUCGGAAUCAUUGGGCGUAAAGCGCACGUAGGCGGCCUGUUAAGUCGGGUGUGAAAGCCCUGGGCUCAACCCAGGAAGUGCACUCGAAACUGGCAGGCUUGAAUAUGGAAGAGGGUCGCGGAAUUCCCGGUGUAGAGGUGAAAUGCGUAGAGAUCGGGAGGAACACCUGUGGCGAAGGCGGCCGACUGGGCCGACCCUGACGCUGAGGCGCGAAGGCGUGGGGAGCGAACGGG
rnacentral:rRNA from 1 species